UAGGCUUUAACCAUGAAAAACCUAGAAAUAUUAUUACAGCAACUGCCAAAUUAAAAUUUCCUCUAAAUUUAGUCUUUCACUCGAGGUUAUUUAAAAU